CUCUGCCCAGCUUUUGGAAGUGCCCAGCUCAUCUGAAAAGAAUUUUCUUGAUCCUGUUUUCAAGCCUGCCAAGGAGGGGUUCAUGUAUGGUUCAUUAGCUGUUGCAGCUAGUGUUUUCCCACUAAUUGCAAAUGCACAAGGAAUGCCUCCAUCUCUUUUGUUCCAAUUCCACCCUAUGAAGCUGUUCUCAAAUGCCACCGGCCUCCCCGGAGCCCUCCCUGUGCCCCACACUCGGAAGUCAACUCUUCUGCCUCUCCCCCUGCUCCUUGUUCUACAGCCACACAAAGUGCCGCAGACUGGGCAGCUCAUAACCCACGGAAAUUCAUCUCUCGCCCUGCUGGAGGCAGGAAGUCUGAGACCCGGCUGCCAGCAUGGUUAGGUUCGGGAGAAUGCAGUAAGUACCAUAGGGGUUGGAGACAUGAGAUGGUCAAAGCCAGUUGGGAGGAUUUGAAACCAUGACGCCUGCAGUGAGCUCAUCACCGAACAGGUCAUUGGAGAUUCAUGUGUUGUUGGAAGAAACCAUACAGAGAGAUUCCGGGAGCCUGUUAGCCAGUGUCUGCCAGUGCCGAGCAGCCAGGAAGCACCUGCUG